rnacentral:rRNA from 1 species
GAUGAACGCUGGCGGCGUGCCUAAUACAUGCAAGUCGAGCGAACAGACGAGGAGCUUGCUCCUCUGACGUUAGCGGCGGACGGGUGAGUAACACGUGGAUAACCUACCUAUAAGACUGGGAUAACUUCGGGAAACCGGAGCUAAUACCGGAUAAUAUAUUGAACCGCAUGGUUCAAUAGUGAAAGACGGUUUUGCUGUCACCUAUAGAUGGAUCCGCGCCGCAUUAGCUAGUUGGUAAGGUAACGGCUUACCAAGGCAACGAUGCGUAGCCGACCUGAGAGGGUGAUCGGCCACACUGGAACUGAGACACGGUCCAGACUCCUACGGGAGGCAGCAGUAGGGAAUCUUCCGCAAUGGGCGAAAGCCUGACGGAGCAACGCCGCGUGAGUGAUGAAGGUCUUCGGAUCGUAAAACUCUGCUAUUAGGGAAGAACAAAUGUGUAAGUAACUAUGCACAUCUUGACGGUACCUAAUCAGAAAGCCACGGCUAACUACGUG